rnacentral:rRNA from 1 species
UACAGAGGUCUCGAGCGCGGUUCGGAUUAAUUGGGCGUAAAAGGUGAGCAGGCGGUGUGGCAAGUCUGGUGUGAAAGCUUGGGGCUCAACCCCAAAAUUGCAUUGGAUACUGCCAUGCUUGCGGACUGUAGAGGAUAGUGGAAUUCACGGUGUAGUAGUGAAAGGCGUAGAUAUGGUGAGGAAGACCAGUUGCGAAAGCGACUCUCUGGGCAGUUUCUGACGCUCAUGCACGAAGGCCAGGGGAGCAAACGGG